AUCAGAUAGAUUUUCUUCAGAAUUAAGGAUAUCAGAUGGUAAUUUAGUUCUUUUCAAUGAGUCCAAAGUCCCAAUUUGGUCAACAAAGUUGAACUCUAAUGCCUCAACUUCUGUAGAAGCAGUACUUGGUGAUGAUGGAAAUCUUAUUCUGAAUGGGUCUGGUUCAUCAGUACCUUUAUGGCAGAGUUUUGAUCACCCAGCCGAUACAUGGCUACCUGGCGCCG
rnacentral:misc_RNA from 1 species